rnacentral:lncRNA from 1 species
CAGAAAAGGCUGCGUUCAGUAUUCUUGGCCACGCUUUGGGAGAUUUGGAUAGAAAGAAACAAUUGCAUUUUUAGAGGCACUGAGUCUACGCCGCCGGCACUUGCUAGCAAGAUCAUAGAUGAGCUUCAUUUGUGGGAAAUGGCAGGCGCCAAGGGAGUGCAAUGUAUUAUGUUAAGAGAGUAGGCUUCUAUUUUUCUAAAGCGUGUAGACAGGAAUAGUCCCUUUUAUACAUUUUUGUUUUCUUACUUCUUCUAUAAUAUAAAACCAGCUCGCUAGGUUCUUUAAAAAAAAAAAGGAUUCUGAAGGAACUCGUGUAUUCUGCCAAGGCCCGGUAUGAGCUGACGACGUUGUUGUAUGCUUGAGAUUAUUUCUCUCAAAAACAUUAUAUAAGAUGCUAUUAUGCCCAAAUAUUUUCAUGGGCCUUGUCUCAAAAAUGCUCCAAUUUCCAGCAUCUGCUUAUACAUACGAACAAGUACAUUUUUUCUAUACUUUUUGCCCCAAACCGUUUCUGGAUCUGGGAACGUGUCCGUGUGCACACACUAUACAUAUCAACUAGUAAUAAAUAUCACCAAAGAUUUAAAAAAAAUAAAUAAACUGUACAUGCACUUUUAGUACUAUUAUCUAUUUAUAAGAUCUUGUAACGCCCUGCAAAUAAUUAGAGAAAAAAGAAAAAGAAAAAGAAGAGAAGAGAAGAAGGAAAAAGAGCAAAGCUAGCUAGCAGGCCAGCCCAUGCAGCCCAGUAGCUAGCUGGCCCAGCAGCAAAAGGCAGCCCACAGUAGCAUGCAAGCAGCAGCGCAGCAAGCAGAGCAGAGAGAGCAGAGCAGCAGCGAUGUACUGUAGCAAAAAAUAAUCCCACCUCGCCAAUUCAACCUGAGAGGGAGACCAGCUUAUAACGAUGAGCAGCCCGAAAUUUUUCGUUAAAGUGUGGUCCAACUGAAUAAGAUAAUCCGAUACUAUUUUUUGUCCUGGCUCAUCUUCAAUUUUAUUAUAUGUAUAUGUAUUUUUUCUAUAAUUUUCGGUAAUAAUUAUUUAGUGAGCAAGAUGCAUAGACAAAAAAAAUAUGCCAUGGCUUCUCUUCCAACCUUACAAAAAAUGAAAAAAUCAGUCUUACUAAUGUCUACAUCCUCCAUAAAAAACUAUUUUUGAAUUUAAAUCUCGACAUAGUUUACCAAUGUUUUUAUUAUAGAGGGAGUAGUUGUCUACUCUACAGUGACAAGAUUAGAAUAGAUAAACAAAAUCAGACCCUUACACAGGACACAACGCAAUCACUGUCUCACUGGUAUCUACAGUAACAAUGGCUGCAAAGUCAAGUUGCUCAAUGGAAGUGGUGGGGCAAGAUACUAAUACCGACCAUACUGAGAACUCCCUCCGUUUCAGACGUUUUAACUUUGGUCAAAGUUAAUUUUUUAAAAUUUUAACUAAAUUUAUAGACAAGUAAUAUUUAUAAUACUAAAUUAGUUUCAUCAAUAAAUAAUUGAAUAUAUUUUCACAAUAAAUUUAUCUUGACUUAAAAAUGUUACUCCCUUUGUCCCAUAAUAUAAAAACCUAGUAUGGGACGUGACAUUUUCUAGUUCUAUAAAUCUGGACAUGCUGCCUGUCCAGAUUUGUAAUACUAGUAAAUAUUUAAUGUAAUCAUAAGUUCUUAUAUUUUGGGACAGAGAGAGUAUUAUUUUUUUUCAACAAACUUAGUUUUAGUUAAAUUUAAAGUAGUUCUUAUAAGCUGAAACAGAGUGAAUGGAUAAGUAAUGAUGUCCACGUAGUGCAUUGAACGUAGGGAAAGCUAUCCAGUUUCCGGAACAGUACACUGUACAGUUCCCUUCCUCAACGGCGGAGCAGGAUUAUGCAUGAUAGGAGAGGGGGGCCAGUCAAGAAACAAUAAAAACAAAACACACGUAUAAUAUUAAUCACAAGCGAUGGCUUGUAUAGAAAAUUGAGAUACGGUGUCAUUAUAUAUUGACCAUACUUAUUACUUAAACCAUUGCGUUAUCCUCUAUGUACAAGCAAUCAGAUUUCGUCAAAAUUGUCAGGAUCACCUGACCCCGACAUGUUCAUUGCUUGUGCUAGCUGUUGAAUGCUGAUGCUUGCAAGAUGGUCUAAACUCUGAAUUUGUUGAUGGUUUUUAACUAUCAAUUUGAUAUAUUAUGUCACGUUUUGCAAAAUAUCCACAAGUACUGACUGGGUUUCGGACUUUCGGUUAGGUACUUGACGAGCAGGCAUAGGUAUAUUUGUUCCAUUUUAGACCCGGUAAGCUUGUUAAGACGUAUUCCUAUUCCACCGAGACAAUCCAGUUCGUUGCCAUCUCUACUUUAGACCACUUAGUAAAACCAGAUCAUUUAGUAUAUAGAGGAUAUCUAUAUGUUAGAAGGAUAUCCGUGUAGGAUCACCGUUCAUUCCGCAUCCAAUGGCAGCACUGGUUCCUAGCUUCUCUUCAGUCGUUCGGCCUAGCUCAGAGCCAACCAGGGGGAAACGUACGCCGCUACAAGAAACCCCGUCGUUUUGCCGCAGGAUUCUGGGCCAAAUUACGACGGAGGAGAGGGUAGGAAACUAUGAAUUGAUGCUGUCGUUGAAUGCUGGGUAAACAACGAUCCGGCACAGAUAUCCCCUUUGAUGUAGAAAUCCUCUUCAUCAGAAGACCUGGUUCCGAUUGAGUAAAAAUGGGCUCUCACGGUUAACCUUUGCAUAGACCAUAGAAACAUAGCCCUUGUUAAAGUGCCCGUUAAACCUUUGCACAGACCAUAGAACGCAGGCACGCAGCCCAUGAUUCAAACAAAAAAAGUAGAUUAAGUAGAGUAAUUAAGUAUAUCCUUUUGUUCUAGUACAUCGGAGACGGUGUUCAGUUUGGUGACUACAAAUUAAUUAAAGUAGAGUAACGAAAUAUCCACUGAAUGUGCGCCUGUGCGAGUGCGACGAAUGUACCUAACAGUCAAUGCUGUUCCUCUAUAGUUCGUCUGAAACCAGCGAAUUAAUCCGACUAGGCAACAUUGAACUAGUGCUAUCAAAGAUCAGCGCAGCUGCCGUGCGUGGUUCUCUCAUUGGCUGGAUCGAUGUUGAAAUCAGAACCAACGGUUUUGACCGGUUUCUUAAACAGUUAAACCCGUACAUAAAAUCGGCGCCAAUUCAGCUUGUUUUGUGGAACUGUGUGUUUAGUUAUCGGCAAAUAGCACACGCCAAAUUGCCAACUAGCUAGCUAUCUCGACAAAUUAGAGCCUCAUCCAAAACGAUAGGUUGGCGAUGCGUGUCGUCCAAAACUACCUUAGUACGUUACCGUACCUAUAAAUAUGCAUGCAAUGCUCGACGCUUUGCUGCACACACAUCGAUCGCUAAUCCAUCAACCUAUAGCUUAACGAUCACUGCCAUUGCAAUGGCGCGGUGCACUUUGCUCGUUCUCCUCGUGGCGGCGGCGGUGGCGGUCGUCCCGCUCGCCGCCGGCCAGCCGUGGGCUACCUGCGGCGACGGCACGUACGAGCAGGGGAGCGCCUACGAGAACAACCUCCUGAACCUGGCCCUCACCCUCCGCGACGGCGCCUCCUCCCAGGAGAUCCUCUUCUCCACGGGCUCCAACGGCGCCGCCCCGAACACCGUCUACGGCCUCCUCCUCUGCCGCGGCGACAUCUCCCGCGCCGCCUGCUACGACUGCGGCACCAGCGUGUGGAGGGACGCCGGGAGCGCGUGCCGCCGCGCCAAGGACGUCGCCCUCGUCUACAACGAGUGCUACGCCCGCCUCUCCGACAAGGACGACUUCCUCGCCGACAAGGUGGGGCCGGGGCAGCUGACGACCCUCAUGAGCAGCACCAACAUCAGCAGCGGCGCCGACGUCGCCGCCUACGACCGCGCGGUGACGCGGCUGCUGGCGGCCACCGCGGAGUACGCGGCGGGGGACAUCGCGAGGAAGCUGUUCGCGACGGGGCAGCGGGUGGGCGCCGACCCGGGGUUCCCCAACCUGUACGCGACGGCGCAGUGCGCGUUCGACAUCACGCUGGAGGCGUGCCGCGGCUGCCUCGAGGGCCUCGUCGCCAGGUGGUGGGACACGUUCCCGGCGAACGUCGACGGCGCCAGGAUCGCCGGGCCGAGGUGCCUCCUCAGGUCGGAGGUGUACCCGUUCUACACCGGCGCCCCGAUGGUGGUGCUGCGUGAGUAGGCGCUGGCCAUGCGUGAAGCUAGAAUAAAAUGGCACAAAUUAAGAGUGUUCCACCAGAAUAAAUGUAUUGUAUACUGAAUAAACC